rnacentral:lncRNA from 1 species
CACUGUCCCACGUAAGGCUCACCAUGCAGAGUGGAUGGAUACAGAGAGCUUCCUUCCGCCUUAAAGAUUGUGCACCUGUUUAGCGUGGCCCCAAGGCUAGGGCUGUGCAUGUCACACACACGAAGACACUGGUGGACUGAGCUUUCUGAGCAGGUCUCGAUUCCGCCAGUCAGCAGUCUGAAAGUUCAGGAUCUCCUGAUCAGAAGCAGGACAUCCAUAUGCAGGCUGCACUGGAGGCCGCGCUUUUGAAAUCCUGCCAGCAAAAGGAAGAGAUCCUCAGAGGAGAAGAAGGCAAGGCAUAUAGCUACUGACAUGCUGGUAUAGAGAAAGACAGAGGCAGGAGGAGUACAGUGUGGCCAUUACAAGCCCGGAUUCAAGCUGUCUUUCAAGAUCGGAUAAUAAGGGGCUAGAGAGAUGGCUCAGUGGUUAAGAUCACUGACUGCUCUUCCAAAGGUCCUGAGUUCAAUUCCCAGCAAUCACAUGAUGGCUCACAACUGUCGGAAACAGGAUCAGAUGUCUUCUUCUGGUGUGUCUGAAGACAGCAACAGUGUACUUGCAUACAUUAAGUAAAUAUAUAUAUAUAUAUAUAUACAUAUAUAUAUAUAUAUAA